rnacentral:rRNA from 1 species
AUUGAACGCUGGCGGCAUGCUUUACACAUGCAAGUCGGACGAGUGGCGAACGGGUGAGUAACAUAUCGGAACGUACCGAGUAAUGGGGGAUAACUAAUCGAAAGAUUAGCUAAUACCGCAUAUUAUUCGAGCGGCCGAUAUCUGAUUAGCUGGUUGGUGGGGUAAAGGCCUACCAAGGCGACGAUCAGGAGCGGGUCUGAGAGGAUGGUCCGCCACCCGGGUACGGAGACACGGCCCAGACUCCUACGGGUGGCAGCAGUGGGGAAUUUUGGACAAUUGGCGCAAGCCUGAUCCAGCCAUGCCGCGGGUCUGAAGAAGGCCUUCGGGUUGUAAAGGACUUUUGUCAGGGAAGCGGUACCGGAAUAGAAAGCCACGGCUAACUACGUGCCAGCAGCCGCGGUAAUAC